GACAUCUUUUUUAACAUUGUACCCUGAAGACUUCAGGAAAGGUGCAAUCUUUGAUUCAAUUUCAUCAAAUCUUUCUUUCGACCACUUCACAGUGGGAUCAUCCAUCUUAUUGACGACCACUAUCAGUUUAGAUACACCCAAUGUCUUCGCAAGUUGGACAUGUUCGCGUGUUUGUCCACCUUUCUCAAAACCCGUUUCAAAUUCACCCUUACGGGCAGAUAUUACCAGGACUCCAAUAUCAGCUUGUGAUGCACCACUAAUCAUGUUUGGAACAUAACUUUUGUGGCCCGGUGCAUCCAAUAUUGUGAAUCUUGUGUUAUCGGU
rnacentral:misc_RNA from 1 species